rnacentral:misc_RNA from 1 species
UGGCUCAGUUCAGAUCGUAGGCUGCAACUCGCCUACGUGAAGUAGGAAUCGCUAGUAAUCGCAGGUCAGCAUACUGCGGUGAAUACGUUCCCGGGCCUUGUACACACCGCCCGUCACACCAUGGAAGUUGGCCAUGCCCGAAGUCGUUACUCCAACCCUUGUGGAGGAGGACGCCGAAGGUGGGGCUAAUGACUGGGGUGAAGUCGUAACAAGGUAGCCGUACCGGAAGGUGCGGCUGGAUCACCUCCUAACAGGGAGACAACAAAAUGUUUAAUAUUAUUAUUUUGUCACCUUAGGUCGAUCGGUAUCUCACAUCAUUAAUUUAUUAAGGAUUUCAUUUCCUAAGUUUUUCUAGGUCACACCCAUUUUUUUUCCUGGGCCAUUAGCUCAGGUGGUUAGAGCGCACCCCUGAUAAGGGUGAGGUCCCUGGUUCAAGUCCAGGAUGGCCCAUAUCCCUAUGUUGGGGGUAUAGCUCAGUUGGUAGAGCGCCUGCUUUGCAAGCAGGAUGUCAGCGGUUCGAGUCCGCUUACCUCCACUGAUUACCACCUCUUCCAUAAUCCGGAUAAAGGAAAUUUUUUGAGUUGUGAUCAAAUUCUGAAUGAAUCUAGCUUCCUAAUGUGAUCAUUAAGAUGCUGGACUCAGUGAAUUAACUUCAUUGUUUUCAGAGAACCUUGACAACUGCAUAGAUUAUUUUUAAAGACAAUAAGCAUCUUUAAUGAUGCAGAUUUAUUAUUUGUGCAA